GUUUGUUUGACAUAUUUGAACUAAAAUCUCCUUUCUUUAUGUAGGAGAGAGUAUUUUCAGUGGAAUGUUUCAUGUCCAGGAGCCACGAUUUCCUUCCUGCUUGCCAGAGAUGACGUUUGUUGACAUCCACAAUUUGUGGAAACCACAAUCUUUCAUCUUUUUAGGAAAAACAAGGAUGAAUGGGUCUACUGCAUUAUACAGGAGUGCUGGUUUGGGAUAAAUAUCUGAAAUGUAUGGAACUUCCUUUCUUGUUUUCUUGAGAAAUUGUAUUUGUAGCUUUAGAUUAGCACUAUACUAAAUAGUUCCUUCAUUCUUGGAAACAACAAGUACAGUAAGCAAGGCUUUAAAAGAAUUAUAAAUACAAAAAAAGUGGUAUUCUUGCUGAAUGCCAUGUUGGAAUUCUCCUAGUAAACCAAAAAUGUGGGGGGGAGUGUACACUGGAAAAAAAUUUAAAAUAGAUGCUGGGAAUUUUAAAGCAGAGGAAUUGGGAUUUUUUGAUGCACAUGAGGUGAACAUUGAAUGAAUGUUGGUAAAGUCCCAUCUUCAUAAGUAUUCUAUCAAAUGUUAAACACUAAUCCCUUACCCUAGACGCAAGUGCUCUAUAGAUCUGCAGAACAGACCUGAACAAACUCAUCACAGUCUUUCUGCUUUCCUGUGCGGCAGUGGAAACAAAAUGUGGGAAGGAGAAAUCAAGAGAAGUUGUGUGAAUGUUUGGUGUGAAUCAAAGCGUCCAAAGCAUCUUCAUCUUUCUGAGUGCCAGAGGAAUGUGGAAUAUGCGUACUGACGGGGUGUUUGGAGCCCAAGGGAGGACAACUGAGGAAAGAGGCUGGACUGAUGGAAAUGCUCUUCCCUACAGGAGAAAAAUACAUUGAAGAUAUUUUUUUCUGAAAAAUUGAUAUUCUGACCAGCUUCCAUUUAUUUGAUCAGCCCUCGUAUUGAGGUCUUGGCAAGAGCCAGAAGAGGAAAGUUGCAUUUUAUGGAGGAAAAUGAGGUUAGGUAGGUGAAACUUUUUUUAAAUUGUAAUGGGAAAGGAGGUGAAGCAAUUGACGGUUAAGAAGAAGAGCUGGCAGUUUGACUUGUUUCA
rnacentral:lncRNA from 1 species